rnacentral:rRNA from 1 species
GAUCAUGGCUCAGAACGAACGCUGGCGGCGCGUUUAAGCAUGCAAGUCGAGCGGCAAGGGCCUUCGGGCCCCUAGAGCGGCGGACGGGUGAGUAACACGUGGACAAUCUGCCCCCCGGCCCGGGAUAGCCCAGGGAAACCUGGAUUAAUACCGGAUGAGACGGGACCCGCGAUGGCGGGAUCCGGGAAAGGCGCUGCGGCGCCGCCGGGGGAUGAGUCUGCGUCCCAUUAGCUAGACGGCGGGGUAACGGCCCACCGUGGCGACGAUGGGUAGCCGGCCUGAGAGGGUGGACGGCCACAUUGGAACUGAGACACGGUCCAGACUCCUACGGGAGGCAGCAGCUAAGAAUCUUCCGCAAUGGGCGAAAGCCUGACGGAGCGACGCCGCGUGAACGAAGAAGGCCGUGAGGCUGUAAAGUUCUUUUCGGGAGGGGGAACAACCGUGGCAGGGAAUGGCCGCGGGAUGACGUGAAUCCCGGAAUAAGCCCCGGCUAACUACGUGCCAGCAGCCGC